AAAAGCCCGCUCGCCGGAAGACCAAGGGUUCCUGUCCAACGUUAAUCGGGGCAGGGUGAGUCGACCCCUAAGGCGAGGCCGAAAGGCGUAGUCGAUGGGAAACAGGUUAAUAUUCCUGUACUUGGUGUUACUGCGAAGGGGGGACGGAGAAGGCUAUGUUAGCCGGGCGACGGUUGUCCCGGUUUAAGCAUGUAGGCUGAUUGUCCAGGCAAAUCCGGAUAAUCAAGGCUGAGGUGUGAUGACGAGGCACUACGGUGCUGAAGUAACAAAUGCCCUGCUUCCAGGAAAAGCCUCUAAGCAUCAGGUAACAUUAAAUCGUACCCCAAACCGACACAGGUGGUCAGGUAGAGAAUACCAAGGCGCUUGAGAGAACUCGGGUGAAGGAACUAGGCAAAAUGGUGCCGUAACUUCGGGAGAAGGCACGCUGGUGUGUAGGUGAAGUCCCUGCGGAUGGAGCUGAGACCAGUCGAAGAUACCAGCUGGCUGCAACUGUUUAUUAAAA
rnacentral:rRNA from 1 species